rnacentral:lncRNA from 1 species
CUUGUGUUGCUACUGCCGGUGACUUCUUCUUCUUCUCUUCUUUAGUGACUGGUGAGUUCCUCUUUUAACACGUGCUUUGCUUCUCUUCUUUGGUGACGGUAGGUUGAGUGGACGAGGGUUCUUCUCUUUUCCUUUUUUUGCUAAUCAUUUUUUUUAUACAAAAUUUCCUAUUUAGUGUCUACACUUAUCAUCUCUUUAGGUCCCCCAACUGCUUCAACCCAUAUGGUGAAGUCCAUCAGCAUUUGCAGGACAUGGCAAUUGGUCAAAGCAACAAC